CUGGUUCUGCUUUUCCUUUGUAGAUUCACAUGGUGCAGAUCUGAGUAAGUCUCCCUCCCUACACUGAAGGAGAGUGGGGGUCUUCCCACAGGAUCAGCCACGGGAUGACCAUCUGAUCCCUCUCAUCACGUGUUUCCUAUUUGUUUCUCUAGCAGAAAAACAAGCUGCAGAACCAGGGGAACAAACUGAAGAAGAGGAGACACGGAAACCACUGCUGAAAAAACCAUUUGAAGAAUCAGACUGAGAGAUGAACUGCAUGGCGCAAUAACCACAGGAGUUAAGCAUCAGAGACUACAGAUUGCACAGGAUACCAAAACCACAAUAACUCCAAGCAAGCAAGGAAAUCCACAAUGAAACAAGUGGAGCCAGCAGUGUUUUAUUGAGAACACUGUAGUUCUGUGAGCCAAAGCUGUCUGAACUGAGGAUGUGUGACCUCUAACUCAAAUCCAAUUGGAAGAAAG
rnacentral:lncRNA from 1 species